rnacentral:rRNA from 1 species
UGGGGAAUAUUGCACAAUGGGCGCAAGCCUGAUGCAGCAACGCCGCGUGAGGGACGACGGCCUUCGGGUUGUAAACCUCUUUUAGUAGGGAAGAAGCGAAAGUGACGGUACCUGCAGAAAAAGCACCGGCUAACUACGUGCCAGCAGCCGCGGUAAUACGUAGGGUGCGAGCGUUGUCCGGAAUUAUUGGGCGUAAAGAGCUCGUAGGCGGUCUGUCGCGUCUGCUGUGAAAACCCGAGGCUCAACCUCGGGCCCUGCAGUGGGUACGGGCAGACUAGAUGCGGUAGGGGAGAAUGGAAUUCCUGGUGUAGCGGUGGAAUGCGCAGAUAUCAGGAGGAACACCGAUGGCGAAGGCAGUUCUCUGGGCCGUAACUGACGCUGAGGAGCGAAAGCGUGGGGAGCGAACAGGAUUAGAUACCCUGGUAGUCCACGCCGUAAACGUUGGGCGCUAGAUGUGGGGACCAUUCCACGGUUUCCGUGUCGCAGCUAACGCAUU